rnacentral:rRNA from 1 species
UCCGUAGGCGGGGAAUUAAGUCAGAGGUGAAAUCCCACAGCUUAACUGUGGAACUGCCUUAGAUACUGGUUAUCUUGAGUUUUAGUGAAGUAGAUAGAAUGUGUAGUGUAGCGGUGAAAUGCAUAGAUAUUACACAGAAUACCGAUUGCGAAGGCAGUCUACUAACUAACAACUGACGCUAAUGGACGAAAGCGUGGGGAGCGAACAGGAUUAGAUACCCUGGUAGUCC